AGGAAUGUCACGAUUUCGUGAGACGGAGGCAUCUCUGCACCACAUGGGAGCCUGUGGCAAAAUGCAGUCUGAGCAGCCCGACAAGGAAUCUGAUCUGCUUGCUUUGACAAGGUAUGGCUGGGCCUGCAGAGAAAGUGUAAGCAGACUGUGCUGUGUUGCUGAUCAGUGCUGAUCUCCAAACCUGAGUUGGUCCCACAACAUCCAGGCACCAGCGUGCUUUGCUUCAUCAUUGACAAGGUGCACGGCAAGCUCUCACUCAAGC